AGACAUAUAUUAUGUCAAAUUGUGUCAUAUCCAUGCGGUAUCUAAUCCUGCUGUGUCUAAUUGAAUGUGUUCAUUCAAAUGUUGCAUGUCUAAUCGAGCGGUAUCCUAUCAUAACGUAUGCAAUUGUUAAGCCUUCAAAAGCUGCCCAUCAUCUUUGAGUAAAUUACCAAGAUUGUUCAUAGCUUGAGCAUAAUUUGGAU